AGAGUUUGAUCAUGGCUCAGAUUGAACGCUGGCGGCAUGCCUAACACAUGCAAGUCGAACGGCAGCACAGUGGUAGCAAUACCACGGGUGGCGAGUGGCGGACGGGUGAGUAAUGCAUCGGGACCUACCUGAACGUGGGGGAUAACGUAGGGAAACUUACGCUAAUACCGCAUACGUCCUACGGGAGAAAGCGGGGGACCUUCGGGCCUCGCGCGGUCAGACGGACCGAUGUUCGAUUAGCUAGUUGGUAAGGUAAUGGCUUACCAAGGCGACGAUCGAUAGCUGGUCUGAGAGGAUGAUCAGCCACACUGGAACUGAGACACGGUCCAGACUCCUACGGGAGGCAGCAGUGGGGAAUAUUGGACAAUGGGCGCAAGCCUGAUCCAGCAAUGCCGCGUGUGUGAAGAAGGCCUUCGGGUUGUAAAGCACUUUUAUCGGGAGCGAAAUACCAUCGGUUAAUAACCGGUGGGGCUGACGGUACCCGAGGAAUAAGCACCGGCUAACUUCGUGCCAGCAGCCGCGGUAAUACGAAGGGUGCAAGCGUUAAUCGGAAUUACUGGGCGUAAAGGGUGCGUAGGCGGUGAGUUAAGUCUGUCGUGAAAUCCCCGGGCUCAACCUGGGAAUGGCGAUGGAUACUGGCUCGCUAGAGUGUGUCAGAGGAUGGUGGAAUUUCCGGUGUAGCGGUGAAAUGCGUAGAGAUCGGAAGGAACAUCAGUGGCGAAAGCGGCCAUCUGGGACAACAUUGACGCUGAAGCACGAAAGCGUGGGGAGCAACAGGAUUAGAUACCCUGGUAGUCCACGCCCUGAACGAUGCGAACUGGAUGUUGGUCUCAACUCGGAGAUCAGUGUCGAAGCUUAACGCGUUAAGUUCGCCGCCUGGGGAGUACGGUCGCAAGACUGAAACUCAAAGGAAUUGACGGGGGCCGGCACAAGCGGUGGAAUAUGUGGGUU
rnacentral:rRNA from 1 species